GACGAACGCUGGCGGCGUGCUUAACACAUGCAAGUCGAGCGAUGAAGCUCCUUCGGGAGUGGAUUAGCGGCGGACGGGUGAGUAACACGUGGGUAACCUGCCUCAUAGAGGGGAAUAGCCUUUCGAAAGGAAGAUUAAUACCGCAUAAGAUUGUAGCUUCGCAUGAAGCAGCAAUUAAAGGAGUAAUCCGCUAUGAGAUGGACCCGCGUCGCAUUAGCUAGUUGGUGAGGUAACGGCUCACCAAGGCGACGAUGCGUAGCCGACCUGAGAGGGUGAUCGGCCACAUUGGGACUGAGACACGGCCCAGACUCCUACGGGAGGCAGCAGUGGGGAAUAUUGCACAAUGGGGGAAACCCUGAUGCAGCAACGCCGCGUGAGUGAUGACAGUCUUCGGAUUGUAAAGCUCUGUCUUCAGGGACGAUAAUGACGGUACCUGAGGAGGAAGCCACGGCUAACUACGUGCCAGCCGCCGCCGUAACAC
rnacentral:rRNA from 1 species